GUCGGUUGCAAAAUUUCGGAGCGGAUAAAUGUCAGUGCCGCGGCUCAACUUCCCGCACCAACCGGGCCAACCUGCAGUGGUUUGCAUUCGCUCUUCCUCAAUAUUGAUACCCCGUUUGGGUGUAGCUGGAAAUAGUAGACCAACGACAAUUCAUGCGGCAUUUUCGAUGGUUGGCAUUGUUUUGAUUGCGGACUUUCGAGGGACGAUUGUGCCGCUCGUUUGGGACACCUGCGUGUUCGCACUUUUUGAAACUUUGUGUGCAUGGGAACUUGAACCCGAACAGCGCCGUUUCUCUCAGUUUAUCACCUUCGGCUAUUGGAUAAUUCCGGAAGACUGUCUCUAGAUCACUUAGACAGUUCAAAAGAUGCGAAGCUAAAAGGAUUUGUCUUGCGUGCUGCAGUAAUAGAACCCGAGAGGUUCCAGGAGCGUGAAAGCUAUAAUUGAUAAAACGACCAUCACCAAUCUGAUCCAGAAAUGGCAACAGGGCUUUUUUUUAUAUGCUGAAAGAACGAAUGUACUCGGAAUAACCAACCAUGGAUGUCAUGAUUCCAGCCAUGUAAAGCAUCCAGCAAGAGCAUAAUAGUAAUUGCAUGCACUCAAGAUAAACACAUCAUACUGUUGUAGAUGCAAUGUUUCGUCAACAUCCGGUCAUUAUUUAUAAAAUGGCAAAUUGAUCGACAAAUUCAAAUCGAAAAAGGACUGCAAAAUAUUAUGCG